UACGGGGGGGGGCAAGCGUUGUUCGGAAUUACUGGGCGUAAAGGGCUCGUAGGCGGCCAACUAAGUCAUACGUGAAAUCCCUCGGCUUAACCGGGGAACUGCGUCUGAUACUGGCAGUCUCGAGUGCGGGAGAGGUGAGUGGAAUUCCCAGUGUAGAGGUGAAAUUCGUAGAUAUUGGGAAGAACACCAGUGGCGAAGGCGGCUCACUGGCCCGUAACUGACGCUGAGGUAGCGAAAGCGUG
rnacentral:rRNA from 1 species